GAANUCCCCGGGCUCAACCUGGGAACUGCGUUNUGAACUGGGUGACUAGAGUGUNUCAGAGGGAGGUAGAAUUCCACGUGUAGCAGUGAAAUGCGUAGAGAUGUGGAGGAAUACCGAUGGCGAAGGCAGCNUCCUGGGAUAACACUGACGUUCAUGCCCGAAAGCGUGGGUAGCAAACAGGAUUAGAUACCCUGGUAGUCCACGCCCUAAACGAUGUCGAUUAGCUGUUGGGCAGCAUGACUGCUUAGUAGCGAAGCUAACGCGUGAAAUCGACCGCCUGGGGAGUACGGUCGCAAGAUUAAAACUCAAAGGAAUUGACGGGGACCCGCACAAGCGGUGGAUGAUGUGGAUUAAUACGAUGCAACGCGAAGAACCUUACCUGGUCUUGACAUGUACGGAACCCUCCAGAGACGGAGGAGUGCCUUCGGGAGCCGUAACACAGGUGCUGCAUGGCUGUCGUCAGCUCGUGUCGUGAGAUGUUGGGUUAAGUCCCGCAACGAGCGCAACCCUUGUCAUCAGUUGCCAUCAUUAAGUUGGGCACUCUAAUGAGACUGCCGGUGACAAGCCGGAGGAAGGUGGGGAUGACGUCAAGUCCUCAUGGCCCUUAUGACCAGGGCUUCACACGUCAUACAAUGGUCGGUACAGAGGGUAGCCAAGCCGCGAGGCGGAGCCAAUCUCACAAAACCGAUCGUAGUCCGGAUUGCACUCUGCAACUCGAGUGCAUGAAGUCGGAAUCGCUAGUAAUCGCAGGUCAGCAUACUGCGGUGAAUACGUUCCCGGGCCUUGUACACACCGCCCGUCACACCACGAGAGUUUGUAACACCCGAAGUCGGUGAGGUAACCGUAAGGAGCCANCC
rnacentral:rRNA from 1 species